CGGUGACGACGACCGCCGAGCGCCACCCGAACAGGGAGAGGAACCACCCUCGGCAGUAGUCGUGACACAAGUAAUAUACUCGGAAGUGGUGGAGGGUGUGCAUGCUUCUUGAGUCAGACUAGAAGUCCACUCCGAAAACUUCUUUUCCACCCGGCAGUGAUUUGGAGCAACCUCUGGAAUAAGUUAAAUAGCCCUGGGGGGUACGAACAAAGAAUCCAAUUUGGGAAAGUCGUAUUCCUUGUUGUAAUGCUGGGUGUGAAGCCAGGCCCAGGAAGCAAGAUGUUAAUCUUAUCAGCUAAACCGAAACAGAGGACCAUGGCUGAAGAAAUUAGGUAAAAUCUGAAAUUGAUAGGGAGCAGCUGUAUGUCAGAUCGUUGGAGACCACCAGGGAUAUGGCUCACACCAUUGAAGGGGCUACCAAGGAGCAGAGCACCUCAUUGGACUGGCAUAAACUAAGAAGGCCACGCCUUACCACCUCCCGCUUCAGGGAAGUCUUCCACGUCCGAGGGCAGAGUUUAGCGGAGAACCUGGUAGACUGGAUUAUCAAAGGACCUCCUCAGAUGGCAGCAAUGAACAGGGCUCUGGCCAUGGAGCCUGCUGUUGUCUGUGAAUACAGCCACAUCAAAAACGUGAACUACACGCCCCUUGGCUGGGGUCUUCACCUGACAGGCUGACCUACGACCCCAUUGAAAGCCCACCAUUUGGCUUACUGGAGAUCAAGCGUCCAAACUCCAAGAGUUAUGUUGACUGCCCCUACCUGAAGCUCCAUCAUGGCAAAAAGGAGCUAAAGCCUACUACUCGCAGGUACAAGGCUAGAUGCUAAUAGCAAGGCUGGAGUGGUGUGACUUCGUGGUGUUCGCUGAAGAGGACAUACUGAUCCAGCGCAUCUACAGUUGGGUGGCAAACACCAUCAGGG
rnacentral:lncRNA from 1 species